rnacentral:rRNA from 1 species
AGAGUUUGAUCAUGGCUCAGAACAAACGCUGGCGGCGUGCCUAACACAUGCAAGUCGUACGAGAAAUCCUGGGCAACUGGGAAAGUAAAGUGGCGCACGGGUGAGUAACGCGUGGGUAACCUGCCCUUGAAUUGGGGAUAACUCCGCGAAAGCGGGGUUAAUACCGAAUAAUACUCCGAUCUCCACGGAGGUUGGAGUCAAAGGUGGCCUCUGCAUGCAAGCUACUGUUUAAGGAUGGGCCCGCGUACCAUUAGCUUGUUGGUAGGGUAACGGCCUACCAAGGCAUCGAUGGUUAGCUGGUCUGAGAGGAUGGCCAGCCACACUGGAACUGAGACACGGUCCAGACUCCUACGGGAGGCAGCAGUGGGGAAUCUUGCGCAAUGGGGGAAACCCUGACGCAGCAACGCCGCGUGGGUGAUGAAGGCCUUCGGGUCGUAAAGCCCUGUCGGGUGGGAAGAACCGUACUGGUAUAAACAAUGCUAGUGCCUGACGGUACCACCGAAGGAAGCACCGGCUAACUCCGUGCCAGCAGCCGCGGUAAUACGGAGGGUGCAAGCGUUGUUCGGAAUUACUGGGCGUAAAGCGCGUGCAGGCGGUUGAGCAAGUCAGAUGUGAAAGCCUUCCGCUUAACGGAAGAAGUGCAUUUGAAACUACUCAGCUAGAGUUCGAGAGAGGAGAGUGGAAUUCCCGGUGUAGAGGUGAAAUUCGUAGAUAUCGGGAGGAACACCGGUGGCGAAGGCGGCUCUCUGGCUCGAUACUGACGCUGAGACGCGAAAGCGUGGGGAGCAAACAGGAUUAGAUACCCUGGUAGUCCACGCCGUAAACGAUGGGCACUAGGUGUAGGAGGUAUUGACCCCCUUUCUGUGCCGAAGCUAACGCAUUAAGUGCCCCGCCUGGGGAGUACGGCCGCAGGCUAAACUCAAAGGAAUUGACGGGGGCCGCACAAGCGGUGGAGCAUGGUGGGUUCAGUUCGACGCCAACG